GGCGGCCCGAGUGGUAGCCGCUAUUAUUGGGUUUAAAGGGUCCGUAGCCGGCUUAUUAAGUCUUUUGGGAAAUCUGGCGGCUCAAUCGUCAGGCGUCCAAAAGAUACUGGUAGGCUUGGGACCGGGAGAGGUGGGAGGUACUCCAGGGGUAGGGGUGAAAUCUCGUAAUCCUUGGGGGACCACCGAUGGCGAAGGCAUCCCACCAGAACGGGUCCGACGGUGAGGGACGAAAGCUGGGGGCACGAACCG
rnacentral:rRNA from 1 species